rnacentral:rRNA from 1 species
CUAUUCAGACUAGCCAUGCACGUCUAGUACAAACUAAAUGAUGGUGAAACUGCAAAUGGCUCAUUACAACGGUUAUGAUGUACCCGGGAGUUCCGAUGGAUAUUUCCAGUAACACUAGAACUAAUACAUGUCCCUGCGUUUAUUAGUUUCGCACAGUCCGUCGCUGAGUCAUGGUAAACAGUUGAUCGACUCGACGUCCCGGAACAGUUUCCGCCCCAUCAGCUUCGAUGGUUGGGUAUUGGCCUACCAUUGCAACAACGGGUAACGAGGAAUUAGGGUUUGAUUUCGGAGAGGGAGCCUGAGAAACGGCUACCACAUCUACGGAUGGCAGCAGGCGCGCAAAUUACCCAAUGCAGACACUGUGAGGUAGUGACGAGAAAUAAUAAAGCGGGACUUCUGUUUCGCUAUUAUAAUGAGGAAUAACCAAAGGUCAUUCCGAUUAGCAACUGAUGGGAAAGUCUGGUGCCAGCAGCCGCGGUAAUACCAGCGUCAGUAGCAUA